UACGUAGGGGGCUAGCGUUGUCCGGAAUCAUUGGGCGUAAAGAGCGUGUAGGCGGCUCGAUAAGUCCGCUGUGAAAGUCCAGGGCUCAACCCUGGGAUGCCGGUGGAUACUGUCGGGCUCGAGUCCGGAAGAGGCGAGUGGAAUUCCUGGUGUAGCGGUGAAAUGCGCAGAUAUCAGGAGGAACACCGAUUGCGAAGGCAGCUCGCUGGGACGUUACUGACGCUGAGACGCGAAAGCGUGGGGAGCAAACAGG
rnacentral:rRNA from 1 species